rnacentral:snRNA from 1 species
GUGUUCACUUCGGCCACACAUAUACUAAAAUUGGAAUGGUACAGAGAAUAUUAGCAUGGACCCUGUACAAGGAAGACACACAAAUUCAUGAACUGUUUCAAGAUUUU